UCGGGAAUUUUGGGCAAUGGGCGAAAGCCUGACCCAGCAACGCCGCGUGAAGGAUGAAGUAUUUCGGUAUGUAAACUUCGAAAGAAUAGGAAGAAUAAAUGACGGCACUAUUUAUAAGGUCCGGCUAACUACGUGCCAGCAGCCGCGGUAAUACGUAGGGACCAAGCGUUGUUCGGAUUUACUGGGCGUAAAGGGCGCGUAGGCGGCAAUUCAAGUCAUCUGUGAAAUCUCCGGGCUUAACUCGGAACGGUCAGAUGAUACUGCUUUGCUAGAGUGCAGAAGGGGCAAUCGGAAUUCUUGGUGUAGCGGUGAAAUGCGUAGAUAUCAAGAGGAACACCUGAGGUGAAGACGGGUUGCUGGGCUGACACUGACGCUGAGGCGCGAAAGCCAGGGGAGCAAACGGGAUUAGAUACCCUAGUAGUCCCUGAGCGGGCUGGCAAGGCGCAU
rnacentral:rRNA from 1 species